UGGAGGCUGGAAGCUACCUGAGUCGUCAGCGUCCUGGUCGUCCAGAGACACAGACACCCCCAUCUCCAAGCACUUCUUACUGUGGGCCUUGGACUUCAUGUGCUUGGUCAGAUUUCCUGUAAGAGAGGAGGUGAUGAGGCAGGACACAGAACACAGCCCGUCUCUGGGCAGGCUGGAACGGGCAUUUCCCCGUGAUUUAGACAAGCUGAUGAUUGCAGGAGAGUCCUUCUAAGAUCACGCUUGGAUGAUAGAGGCCAACAUGGUCCUCUAAAGAUGAGGAAGAGGAUUACUUUUCAGAAUGAAAAGUACUGCAAGCGGAGCAUUCUGAAAAACACCUUCAACAGCAGACAGUACCAUAUCACACGUGAAUAUGUCAAAGUUGAACAUGGUUAUGAUUA